CUUGUUGCAUUGGAAACAACCCAGAGGUCCAGACCUGGCUUCCCUGAAAGCUUUUCUCCCUGGAGAAGGCUCCUCAACGUCUCGUUUUAGAAGAGCGUUUCUACCUUUCUCUCCCUGCGAGUAUAUUCCAGUGACCGGGGGACGGCUGAGAGCUGACCUUUGCGGGCCUUGCCCACCUGUUUCCUGUGCCCGCCCCCGACUUCCCCCCUCUCCAGGACUGGAGUAUUUCCCUUGCUUCUUGGAGCUGUCGACGUGUGGCCAUGGAUUGCAUUGUGCUGGUUCUCAGGACUUCCUAUCUAUGCCCCCCACCCCUGGCUCUGAAAAGGCCGCGCAUAAGUUUAAAGUAAAUCAAUCAAUCAA